GACGAACGCUGGCGGCGUGCCUAAUACAUGCAAGUAGAACGCUGAAGAGAGGAGCUUGCUCUUCUUGGAUGAGUUGCGAACGGGUGAGUAACGCGUAGGUAACCUGCCUUGUAGCGGGGGAUAACUAUUGGAAACGAUAGCUAAUACCGCAUAACAAUGGAUGACACAUGUCAUUUAUUUGAAAGGGGCAAUUGCUCCACUACAAGAUGGACCUGCGUUGUAUUAGCUAGUAGGUGAGGUAAUGGCUCACCUAGGCGACGAUACAUAGCCGACCUGAGAGGGUGAUCGGCCACACUGGGACUGAGACACGGCCCAGACUCCUACGGGAGGCAGCAGUAGGGAAUCUUCGGCAAUGGGGGCAACCCUGACCGAGCAACGCCGCGUGAGUGAAGAAGGUUUUCGGAUCGUAAAGCUCUGUUGUAAGUCAAGAACGGGUGUGAGAGUGGAAAGUUCACACUGUGACGGUAGCUUACCAGAAAGGGACGGCUAACCACGUG
rnacentral:rRNA from 1 species